UACUGAAAUGUCCUUGUAUAUUAGCCCAAAAGACAGGCUUGGAUGUUGGUCAGGCCUGACCAUUUGCACUGUACGGACCUCUGUCUCUUCAUCUCUGGAACCCUAAAAAAGAAACCUCUAGCUCCGCCUGAUUCUUCAGGAUUCUUACAUUGACGUACUUACUCUCUGCCAGUCAUCAUUUAAAGAUUGGAGUUUCCAGGAGCACCAGAAGUGUUGUGAUUAGCAUCUCAUGUUUCUUAAAAUUUUAAUCUUUUUGUUGAUGGUAUGUGCUGCAAAAGGCCCAAGACACGGAUAUGCUCGAGUGUGGAAAACAGAAAGAGUAUUGAAACUAUUUCCAAGCCCGCAAAACUUGUUGAUUGUGUAAGCUCGCCUUUUAUAUCCCCUGUUUUGUUCUCUUCUAAUACAAUUCUCACAGCGAAUAUGAGUAUGCCAACUUGACAGCUUAUAGAAAUAUGGGGUUGCCCAUUUGACAUUGUAGAUUUUGUUUUUUUCUAACAAACUUACGGUAAUAGGAGAGCAUUUUAAGGACACUUUCUGGUCAAAAUUCCAUAAUUAUAUUUUUUUA